UCUUCCGUAGUAUAGUGGUCAGUAUGUGAGCUUGUCAUCUAAUGAUAUCGCUCGAGACCCGGGUUCAAUUCCCGGCGGGAGAG
rnacentral:tRNA from 1 species